AAUUCAUCAUUUCAACACGAGGAAAAUAGAAUUGACAAAUCAACAAAAUCCCUGAAAUUUAAGGUGUCUGUAUUUCUGAUGACCCAGCUUUUUGGUAAGAGGGAAACUGCUUUCACAGAGGAGCAUUGUGGUUCAGAACUUUUAACAAUGAAGCAGCACAGGAAGAGAGCUGCAUGGUCAACUCAUGUCACUUCUGUCACCCUGCUGAAUGCCACGUCACGCUGCCAAUGCUUGGAAGCACUGACUGCUGGCUUCUGCAAGACUGGAAGGAAAGGAAGACCUGGACACAUUGACUACAUCUCAACUAUUAAACAAAAUUAGUCAGAGAAUUUUCCUGGAGGCCAACUGGCAUGAAAUAGCUUGAAUCCACAGAGCUAAACUCUCUUGCCCUCAAAUCACGGUGGCCACAUCCAAAGUAUCUAUUGGAGAUGGUGCCUGACCUGGGUCAAUACCCAAGCUGUGCUUUGGCAUUGUCUGGAAGAGCAUUACAGGCUUGCACCAAAGCCAUGCCAGGGACCAGUUUGGUGGUAUGGAUGGUUUCAGGCCCAUGCCUUGCUGGUCUUGUUUAGUUUAUUUAAUGUCAGAGGGAAACCUCAGUAAUUCUGCCAGGAGUCAACAGGAAACCCCCUUCUGGCCUCAGCAACCAGAAGCUGCUGAGAAGUAUAAUCAUUAGUUGUUCACCUCCUUCACAUUUGGAUUCUUUUUCUCAUUUUAUUUUUUACCAAAUGAAGCCUGAAAAUAUUUGGAAUCUCAUCGAGUAAUAAAAUUGGGUUACUGUCUGC